GUAACAAGGUCUCCGUUGGUGAACCAGCGGAGGGAUCAUUACAGAGCUGCAAAACUCCCUAAACCAUCGUGAACGCUACCUAAACCGUUGCUUCGGCGGGCGGCGCCCUCGCGCGCCCCCCCUGGGGCCCGCACCGCGGGCGCCCGCCGGAGGUACACCAAACUCUUGAUAUGUUAUGGCCACUCUGAGUCUCCUGUACUGAAUAAGUCAAAACUUUCAACAACGGAUCUCUUGGUUCUGGCAUCGAUGAAGAACGCAGCGAAAUGCGAUAAGUAAUGUGAAUUGCAGAAUUCAGUGAAUCAUCGAAUCUUUGAACGCACAUUGCGCCCGCCAGCAUCCUGGCGGGCAUGCCUGUUCGAGCGUCAUUUCAACCCAUCAAGCCCACGGCUUGUGUUGGGGACCUGCGGCUGCCCGCAGGCCCUGAAAACCAGUGGCGGGCUCGCUAGUCACACCGGGCGCAGUAGCAUACGACCUCGCUCAGGGCGUGCUGCGGGUUCCAGCCGUAAAACGACCUUCACAACCCAAGGUUGACCUCGGAUCAGGUAGGAGGACCCGCUGAACUUAAGCAUAUC
rnacentral:misc_RNA from 1 species